rnacentral:tRNA from 1 species
GGACCCGUAGCUGAGUGGUUUAGCAACCGACUUUUAAUCGGUUGACGUGAGUUCGAUUCUCACCGGGUCCU